rnacentral:tRNA from 1 species
GGUCAGGUUGGCGGGCAGGGGCGCCGGGUGCCUCACGCGCGCCUCACCGGCCGAUGAUCAGGCUCAUCGCCUCGGCGC